rnacentral:snoRNA from 10 species
GAGACUAUACUUCGAGGGAUCGUUUCUACAGUUCACUACUGGAGAAGCGUUUCUGCACGUGCAGAGCAUAGAGGAGGAAGCGACCCCUGCCCCGUGAUUGGUCGGGGGAGGGAGGAACGUGUG